rnacentral:lncRNA from 1 species
AAAAAUAAGGUUAACUCUGCAAAGGGGUAAAAAUGGGGUUUAUAGCUACCGGUAUGAGGGUAGAAAACCACAGACUCCGCCGGGGAAAAGAUGGAUAAUUACUGGUUACUGAGCAAUCAUUCACCUAAACUACGGGGAAGCGCAUGGAACAUCUCAAGAAGCCAAAUCUAGGAACAAAUUAGAGAGGCGCGAUGAAACAAG